rnacentral:rRNA from 1 species
GACGAACGCUGGCGGCGUGCCUAAUACAUGCAAGUUGAGCGCUGAAGGUUGGUACUUGUACCAACUGGAUGAGCAGCGAACGGGUGAGUAACGCGUGGGGAAUCUGCCUUUGAGCGGGGGACAACAUUUGGAAACGAAUGCUAAUACCGCAUAAAAACUUUAAACACAAGUUUUAAGUUUGAAAGAUGCAAUUGCAUCACUCAAAGAUGAUCCCGCGUUGUAUUAGCUAGUUGGUGAGGUAAAGGCUCACCAAGGCGAUGAUACAUAGCCGACCUGAGAGGGUGAUCGGCCACAUUGGGACUGAGACACGGCCCAAACUCCUACGGGAGGCAGCAGUAGGGAAUCUUCGGCAAUAGACGAAAGUCUGACCGAGCAACGCCGCGGGAGUGAAGAAGGUUUUCGGAUCGUAAAACUCUGUUGGUAGAGAAGAACGUUGGUGGGAGUGGAAAGCUCAUCAAGUGACGGUAACUACCCAGAAAGGGACGGCUAACUACGUG